ACGCCGAGGAGGCCCCGCUCUCCUCCCGCAACUUUGCCGGCAGAGUGGGCCGGCCGCCGCGCGGGAGGGCUCUGCCGUUACGGGGAGGACGGAGGGAGGGUCGGCUCGGUCCCGGACCCCGAACCCAAUCCGUCGAUGGACUUGGAUGACCUGGUGUCUGGAUUUCCACCAACAGCACUUCAAACACAGGAGCCGAGAAAGUGGACUGUGGAGAUGAUCCAAGGAUGCAGGUGAGGCAACUGAGGCCCCGGAGAAGUGAAGUGACUUGCCC